CCUACGGGUGGCAGCAGUGGGGAAUAUUGCACAAUGGGGGAAACCCUGAUGCAGCGACGCCGCGUGAGCGAUGAAGUAUCUCGGUAUGUAAAGCUCUAUCAGCAGGGAAGAAAGUGACAGUACCUGACUAAGAAGCCCCGGCUAACUACGUGCCAGCAGCCGCGGUAAUACGUAGGGGGCAAGCGUUAUCCGGAUUCACUGGGCGUAAAGGGAGCGCAGGCGGCACGGCAAGUCUGGUGUGAAAACCCGGGGCUCAACCCCGGGACUGCAUUGGAAACUGCCGGGCUGGAGUGUCGGAGGGGUAAGCGGAAUUCCUAGUGUAGCGGUGAAAUGCGUAGAUAUUAGGAGGAACACCAGUGGCGAAGGCGGCUUACUGGACGAUGACUGACGCUGAGGCUCGAAAGCGUGGGGAGCAAACAGGAUUAGAUACCCCUGUAGUC
rnacentral:rRNA from 1 species